GGGGCUGUGGCUUAGAGGUGUAAGCGUCUGCCUUGCAAGCACAAGGUCCUGAGUUCAAUUCCCAGUACCA
rnacentral:tRNA from 1 species